rnacentral:rRNA from 1 species
GACGAACGCUGGCGGCGUGCUUAACACAUGCAAGUCGAACGGCAAGGCCCUGCUUUUGUGGGGUGCUCGAGUGGCGAACGGGUGAGUAACACGUGAGUAACCUGCCCUUGACUUUGGGAUAACUUCAGGAAACUGGGGCUAAUACCGGAUAGGAGCUCCUGCUGCAUGGUGGGGGUUGGAAAGUCUCGGCGGGUGGGGAUGGACUGGCGGCUUAUCAGCUUGUUGGUGGGGGAGUGGCUUACCAAGGACUUGACGGGUAGGCGGCCUGGGAGGGUGACCGGCCACAUUGCGACUGAGAGACGGCCCAGUCUCCUAUGGUGGGCAGCAGGGGGGAAUAUUACACAAUGGUCGGAAGCCUGAUGCAGCAACGCCGCGUGCGGGAUGACGGCCUGCGGGUUGUAAACCGCUUUCGCCUGUGACGAAGCGGUAGUGACGGUAAUGAGUAAAGAAGCACCGGCUAACUACGUG